AUACGGAGGGCGCAAGCGUUGCCCGGGAUCACUGGGUGUAAAGGGUGCGUAGGCGGGGCUGUAAGUCAGAGGUGAAAGCCCUCGGCUCAACCGGGGAAUUGCCUCUGAUACUGCAGCUCUUGAGUCCCGGAGAGGCCGCUGGAAUUCCUGGUGUAGCGGUGAAAUGCGUAGAUAUCAGGAGGAACACCGGAGGCGAAGGCGGGCGGCUGGACGGGGACUGACGCUGAGGCACGAAAGCGUGGGGAGCAAACAGGAUUAGAAACCCUAGUAGUCC
rnacentral:rRNA from 1 species